AGAGCAAAGAGACACGUGUGAUGUUGUAAUUCAAGUGUCAGUUAAGAAAUGGGACUUAAAUGAGUGUUUUUUUCGAAAAAAAUCCAGUGAAAUCAAUCCGAAGCAGCCACAAGUGGCGGCCGUCCUCAAUUCAUCAUCGUUCCAGCCGUGGCACCAGUGAGCGAGUUUCGCGGAAAAAUCACCUGCAGAACGGGCCGAAACGACGACUUUCAACAGCCAGCUCCUGAUCAUCUAACGUGAGCAACGAACAGGCAGAAGAAUUCUAACGCAUCACCCAGAAAAGUGGGAAAUCCAGUCGUUCUUUCGAUGACCUACAACUUCUAAAUAAUAAAAUGUCAGGAUUGCGACUACGCAGAGCCAAAGACUGCAGAGUUCGACGAAAGAUAUUUAAUAAAACUGAUUGAGUCGACCUUGCAGGGGCUUGAGAAGAACAAACUAUUUCUCGCUGAGCCCAAUAAGGUGGCCAAUGAUUAUGAGCACAACCAGGCAUACAAAAGCAACAUUCGAGCCCAGCUGAAGACUUUUGCCUACGCUGAGCCACAGACUGCUCCGAACGCGGAGCCAAAGAAUGCUUCUUGGGGUGAGCCAAAGCCUGCUACCUGCACUGUAUUAUGUGCACGAUGUAAUAAAUUUUAUGAAUAUUUAACACUUAAGCUAACUUCAAAACGGCUUCAGUAAAAUUCGGAACCAUAAAUCGCAUAUAGCAGAGGAAUGUUAUUACAAUAAUGUAACAUUUCAAACACAAUAUUAAUUAAAUUCAUAAUAAUUUCUAUGCAUCCUAAUAAAUGGCAUACAGUACAAUUAAACAAGAUUACCUUGAAGCAAUUACGAAAAUAUUGUAAUAAUAUUUAAAAUAUUAAUAAAAAUGAUUUUAACAUAAUUUAAAUCUGAAAAUUAUAAAAAUUAAUUAAA